CUUGGUCAUUUAGAGGAAUUCCACGCGCUUGAUCUGCAGUUUUUCCGUGAGCACGAACGAGAUCCGGCCAUUCCAGGUGAGGCCCAUGCGUGUUGGAUAUUUGCCCGCGGCCAGAUGGGACUUGAUCUCUUUGCCGUCCAGAGGAUGACGGACAUAGCGCACGAUUGCCUUGUUCGGAUCCGCGGUCUGCAGCUCGAGGUCCUGGUCGAUACCAAAAGGACUCGGCGCGUCGCCGUGAUUCAACCAGGCGGCCAUCGAAGUAUGCGGAGUGCGUUUUGUCUCCACGAACUGCACGGCGAAGGUGCCGAGCGCAUCGCGUAGCGCUUCAACCAGCUCCUCGGCUUUCCCCACGCUGGAU
rnacentral:misc_RNA from 1 species